rnacentral:lncRNA from 1 species
GGAGUGCUAAGCUUGGUUCAAGUUUUCGUUCUAGAUUGAGUGUAUCUUUUUUUUUUUCAUAAACCAUUAUUUUUUUCAUCGAACUAAAAUCUCAAAUGAAUCUAAUCCCAGCAUGCGAACGUGUGCAGCUAGAGACUUUGACCACAUCUGCAUGUACAAAAGAAUCAGGAGCGUGCGCGCAGCCACGUUGUGACCAUGAGCCCAUGCGCAAGACGGCAAGAGGCCCAUGCUGCUAGCCAAGCCGAAGAAGGGUGGCUUUAUAAGAUUUAGAUUUAGAUUUAGAUGUAAGCUAUCACAAAUAUACUCUCUUUGUCUCUAAAAACUUUAAUUUCUAAAAUUCGUGCUAGUUAUUUUUUAUAAAUUUAAUUAACUUUAUAAAAAAACAUUAAUAUGUAUGACAUAAAAUAAAUAUUUUAUAAAAAUAUAUUUCAUAAUAAAUUUAAUGUUACUAAUUUAGAAAUUUAGUCAAAGUUUAAAAAAUUGAUUUAAGACAACUCUAAAAAUUAAAGAUUUUAUAGACAGAGAGUAUGCAAAAUAUAAACCCGAUUUCUAAAAAAAAAAAACUAGCCAAGCCG